GUUGACCUUGGAUCAGGUAGGGAUA
rnacentral:rRNA from 1 species